AUUGAACGCUGGCGGCAUGCCUUACACAUGCAAGUCGAACGGUAACGGGCCUUCGGGUGCCGUCGAGUGGUGAACGGGUGAGUAAUACAUCGGAACGUGCCCGAUCGUGGGGGAUAACGAGGCGAAAGCUUUGCUAAUACCGCAUACGAUCUACGGAUGAAAGCCGGGGACCGCAAGGCCUUGCGCGGACGGAGCGGCCGAUGGCAGAUUAGGCAGCUGGGGGGAGAAAAGCUUACCAAGCCGACGAUCUCUAGCUGGUCUGUGAGGAUGAUCAGCCACACUUGGACUGAGACACGGCCCAGACUCCUACGGGAGGCAGCAGUGGGGAAUUUUGGACAAUGGGCGCAAGCCUGAUCCAGCCAUGCCGCGUGCAGGAUGAAGGCCUUCGGGUUGUAAACUGCUUUUGUACGGAACGAAAAGCCUUCUUUUAAUACAGGAGGGUCAUGACGGUACCGUAAGAAUAAGCACCGGCUAACUACGUG
rnacentral:rRNA from 1 species